UACGUAGGGGGCCAGCGUUGUCCGGAAUCAUUGGGCGUAAAGCGCGCGUAGGCGGCCAGAUAAGUCCGGUGUGAAAGUCAAAGGCUCAACCUUUGAAUGCCGCUGGAAACUGCCUGGCUUGAGUCCGGAAGGGGCGAGUGGAAUUCCUGGUGUAGCGGUGAAAUUCGUAGAUAUUCGGAAGAACACCAGUGGCGAAGGCGGCUCACUGGCCCGGUUCUGACGCUGAGACGCGAAAGCGUGGGGAGCAAACAGG
rnacentral:rRNA from 1 species